AUACCUUUCUCGGCCUUUUGGCUAAGAUCAAGUGUAGUAUCUGUUCUUAUCAGUUUAAUAUCUGAUAUGUAAGCCAUUGGCUCACACGAUAUUAAAUUAAUUUUUUGAGGGGGAGGAGUUAUUACAGUAGCUUGCUACUCGGCUUCUUGAGCGUCGCCCAUGCGUUGCACUAUUGCAAGGGCCUGGCGCACCCUAC